UACGGGGGGGGCAAGCGUUGUUCGGAAUUACUGGGCGUAAAGGGCUCGUAGGCGGCCAACUAAGUCAGACGUGAAAUCCCUCGGCUUAACCGGGGAACUGCGUCUGAUACUGGAUGGCUUGAGAUUGGGAGAGGGAUGCGGAAUUCCAGGUGUAGCGGUGAAAUGCGUAGAUAUCUGGAGGAACACCGGUGGCGAAGGCGGCAUCCUGGACCGGUAUUGACGCUGAGGCGCGAAAGCCAGGGGAGCAAACGGG
rnacentral:rRNA from 1 species